GACCGCGUAGCUCAGUUGAAAGAGCAUUGGGCUAGUAUUCCAAAGGUCGUAGGUUCGAAUCCCACCGUGGCCG
rnacentral:tRNA from 1 species